GACGAACCGUGCAAACGUUGUUCGGAAUCACUGGCUUAAAGGGCGCGUAGGCGGCUUGCCAAGUCGGGGGUGAAAUACUUCAGCUUAACUGGAGAAGUGCCUCGAUACUGGCGAGCUCGAGGAGGUAGGGGUAUGUGGAACUCUGGUGGAGCGGUGAAAUGCGUUGAUAUCAGAAGGAACGCCGGUGGCGAAAGCGACGUACUGGACCUCUUCUGACGCUGAGGCGCGAAAGCUAGGGGAGCAAACGGG
rnacentral:rRNA from 1 species